rnacentral:rRNA from 1 species
GACACGGCCCAGACUCCUACGGGAGGCAGCAGUGGGGAAUAUUGCACAAUGGGCGAAAGCCUGAUGCAGCGACGCCGCGUGAGGGAUGACGGCCUUCGGGUUGUAAACCUCUUUCAGUAGGGAAGAAGCGAAAGUGACGGUACCUGCAGAAGAAGCGCCGGCUAACUACGUGCCAGCAGCCGCGGUAAUACGUAGGGCGCAAGCGUUAUCCGGAUUUAUUGGGCGUAAAGAGCUCGUAGGCGGUUUGUCGCGUCUGCCGUGAAAGUCCGAGGCUCAACCUCGGAUCUGCGGUGGGUACGGGCAGACUAGAGUGAUGUAGGGGAGACUGGAAUUCCUGGUGUAGCGGUGAAAUGCGCAGAUAUCAGGAGGAACACCGAUGGCGAAGGCAGGUCUCUGGGCAUUUACUGACGCUGAGGAGCGAAAGCAUGGGGAGCGAACAGGAUUAGAUACCCUGGUAGUCCAUGCCGUAAACGUUGGGCACUAGGUGUGGGGGACAUUCCACGUUUUCCGCGCCGUAGCUAACGCAUUAAGUGCCCCGCCUGGGGAGUACGGCCGCAAGGCUAAAACUCAAAGGAAUUGACGGGGGCCCGCACAAGCGGCGGAGCAUGCGGAUUAAUUCGAUGCAACGCGAAGAACCUUACCAAGGCUUGACAUGUGCCAGACCGCUCCAGAGAUGGGGUUUCCCUUCGGGGCUGGUUCACAGGUGGUGCAUGGUUGUCGUCAGCUCGUGUCGUGAGAUGUUGGGUUAAGUCCCGCAACGAGCGCAACCCUCGUUCCAUGUUGCCAGCACGUAGUGGUGGGGACUCAUGGGAGACUGCCGGGGUCAACUCGGAGGAAGGUGGGGAUGACGUCAAAUCAUCAUGCCCCUUAUGUCUUGGGCUUCACGCAUGCUACAAUGGCCGGUACAAUGGGUUGCGAUACUGUGAGGUGGAGCUA